GAUAACUGAAAAGUGAUUAAAAAGUCAGUAUUUAUAUAAAGAUACAAUAAUAAAUAUUUAGGAAAAAAAAAACACAAAGGUUUAGAAGAGACUCAUUUUAAAGUCUUUAAAAUAAAAACAAAGAAUCUCGUGAUGCCGUUAUGCAACGAAUUCGCAUGAAUCCCGUUAGUAUAAUUGAAUAGAGGUAACCAGGUUAUGUCUCUCCGAGUUACACGACGCUCGACUUUCUUCAGUUUAUCUCCUGUAUACUAUUUCUUUUUAAUUUACAUAAUUAAAUUUAUUAUUGUACAAGAAAUGGAUCGAUUAAAAUAAAUCUGAAAAUGACAUCCUUCGGCCGUUCAUAGCCUACUUUUUCCUACGAUGCAAUAAUUUUGUUUCGUUAAACUGCCAAAAUAUCAUAUUGUUCGUUAGUCAUCGGUGACUCUUAUGGCAACGAACGUGCUAGGAAGUUAAUGUCAAUCGAACAUGACUUAUGUUCAACUUUGGUUCAACUUUGCCGCAUAAAUAAACAAUAUUGAUUCACGGGCAUAAGCCGAGCGUGAAUAAAUAAUGCUGUGUAUUUAACGGGACAAUGCAGAAACCAACAUCAAUUUCAUAACAUCUAUUCGCUUCUGUUCCGCACGAGACUCGUGCCAACUGCGACGACUCAUCUGUCCCAAAUUCAUGCUUAUAAGAUAUGUUAAAAUAUUCGAUAACAUUCAGCGGUGAGAAUGUGCGCUGAGAUUGUAUCAGUAGCAAGGCCUAUCGUACGAGGAACGCUCGAUAAACGAGAAUACACAUAUAUAGGCGGAUACAUGUGGAAUUAUUUAUUUUAAGAAAGUAUGUUUCUUGGUCAAGUUCAAGUCACAUGUGAGACAAAAUUUCAAUAUCCUUUCCUGUUUUUCAUUAAUGUUUUGCAAAUUAGAGAUACCUUCCCUAAAAAAAAAAAAUAAAUAAAAAAAAAGGAUGUUUAAAAAAAAAUCAUUUUGCGAAGAUUUAAAUUCGCGCGCAAAAGUGAAGCAUUUAGCCGACUGUUCUACGUUCUCCUAAACGAUGUUGGUUUUUCUAAUACCAAUACAUAUAGGUCAUAAUCACAUAUAGGGUAAAUGAACAAAACACAUGGAAGAAAGGUUUACGAUGCGAGUGAUUUAUAUGGUAGAAAAAUCAUUUGAAAUUGAAUCGCUAAGAAUUUUGUGGACGUCCACCAAUUCGACGCCCAAUCGUGGAUUAGCGAUUACACAAUGAAGUUACUUACGUAUUCAAAUCGAUCCUUGCAAAGCUGACUGAGCAGACUUAGGAAGCCAAGUACGGUGAACCAAGCCCACCAUAGAACCACCUCGUCCAGGUACUGUACGUUCAACACACCGAACACGAAGAUGAAUUUGUAAAAGACAAAGUUCCAGAAUUUGUCUUUUAGAUGUUGCCUCUCGGAGGCACGGAGUUCUCCAAACACCAAUUUCUGGAUAGUUUUACCCAGCAGGAUCAACACGCAAUACGCCAUGUUGAUAAGUGUCUGUUAACAGAAAAAUUCAUUUUUCAAUAAAUUAUUUCAUAUUGA